rnacentral:rRNA from 1 species
GAUGAACGCUGGCGGCGUGCCUAAUACAUGCAAGUCGAGCGAACGGACGAGAAUCUUGCUUCUCUGAUGUUAGCGGCGGACGGGUGAGUAACACGUGGAUAACCUCCCUAUAAGACUGGGAUAACUUCGGGAAACCGGAGCUACUACCGGAUAAUAUUUUGAACCGCAUGGUUCAAAAGUGAAAGACGGUCUUGCUGUCACUUCUAGAUGGAUCCGCGCUGCAUUAGCUAGUUGGUAAGGUAACGGCUUACCAAGGCAACGAUGCAUAGCCGACCUGAGAGGGGGAUAGGCCACACUGGAAGUGAGAGACGGUCCAGACUGCUACGGGAGGCAGCAGUAGGGAAUCGUCCGCAAAGGGCGAAAGCCUGACGGAGCAACGCCGGGUGAGUGAUGAGGGUCUUGGGAUCGUAAAACUCUGUGAUUAGGGAAGAACAUAUGUGUAAGUAACUGUGGACAUCUUGACGGUACCUAAUCAGAAAGCCACGGCUAACUACGUG